CAGGGUGAGUGGUGAGCUAUGCUGGCUGUAGAAGAAACAAUUUCUCAACACUCCUGCAAUAGGAACAGGACUGCAGGGAGCAGUUCAGCAGUCACAGUAGACAAAGAUACUGGAAGCUGCUGUCCAUUCUCCAAGAAAUGGAUCCUGCAAAGUCAGUAAUAGCAGUAAACUUACUGCUGAAGCAAUUCCCUAGUGAAGAUACUUCAUUCCACCACCGUGAAAGCUGAUAUUAAUGAAGGGAUAAACGUGUCUUCUGUUCCGUAUGUGCAAGCCUCCAUGCUCUGUGAAACUUUCAUGAGCAGAACAGCUACAGAGUUCAUGCAGUUUCCCUUACUCUAUGCACUGUCUAGGAAACGGUCCCACUAGCUUCAGAAACACAGAAAUCAAAAUAAGA